rnacentral:rRNA from 1 species
CCUACGGGAGGCAGCGGUGGGGAAUAUUGGGCAAUGGAGGAAACUCUGACCCAGCGACGCCGCGUGCGGGAUGAAGGCCUUCGGGUUGUAAACCGCUUUCAGCAGGGAAGAAGCGAAAGUGACGGUACCUGCAGAAGAAGCACCGGCUAACUAUGUGCCAGCAGCCGCGGUAAUACAUAGGGUGCAAGCGUUGUCCGGAAUUAUUGGGCGUAAAGAGCUCGUAGGUGGUUCGUCACGUCGGAUGUGAAAAUCUGGGGCUUAACCCCAGACCUGCAUUCGAUACGGGCGAGCUUGAGUAUGGUAGGGGAGUCUGGAAUUCCUGGUGUAGCGGUGGAAUGCGCAGAUAUCAGGAGGAACACCAAUGGCGAAGGCAGGACUCUGGGCCAUUACUGACACUGAGGAGCGAAAGCGUGGGGAGCGAACAGGAUUAGAUACCCUGGUAGUCCACGCCGUAAACGGUGGGCACUAGUUGUGGGGACCUUCCACGGUCUCUGCGACGCAGCUAACGCAUUAAGUGCCCCGCCUGGGGAGUACGAUCGCAAGAUUAAAACUCAAAGGAAUUGACGG